GAUGAACGCUGGCGGCGUGCCUAAUACAUGCAAGUCGAGCGAACAGAUGAGGAGCUUGCUCCUCUGACGUUAGCGGCGGACGGGUGAGUAACACGAGGAUAACCUACCUAUAAGACUGGGAUAACUUCGGGAAACCGGAGCUAAUACCGGAUAAUAUAUUGAACCGCAUGGAUCAUUAGAGAAAGACGGUUUUGCUGACACUAAUAGAUGGAUCCAAGCCGCAUUAGCUAGUUGGUAAGGUAACGGCUUACCAAGGCAACGAUGCGUAGCGGACCUGAGAGGGUGAUCAGCCACACUGGAACUGAGACACGGUCCAGACUCCUACGGGAGGCAGCAGUAGGGAAUCUUCGGCAAUGGGCGAAAGCCUGACGGAGCAACGCCGCGUGAGUGAUGAAGGUCUUCGGAUCGUAAAGCACUGUUAGUAGGGAAGAACAAAUGUGUGUGAAACUAUGCACGUCUUGACGGUACCUACUCAGAAAGCCACGGCUAACCACGUG
rnacentral:rRNA from 1 species